AGAGUUUGAUUCUGGCUCAGUUUGAACGCUGGCGGCAUGGCUAAAGCAUGCAAGUCGAACGAUAUAGUGGCGAAAGGGCGAGGAAUAGCACCGAAUGUACCCCGAGGUAAGGGAUAGCCAUUGGAAACGAUGGGUAAUACCUUAUAUGUCCAUGGAUGAAAGCUCCGGCGCCUCGGGAGCAGCGGUGUUCCUAUCAGGUAGUUGGUGGGGUAAAGGCCUACCAAGCCGAAGACGGGUAGCGGGUGUGAGAGCAUGGCCCGCCGCAUCGGGACUGAGACACUGCCCGGACUCCUACGGGAGGCUGCAGCGACGAAUCUUCCGCAAUGCACGAAAGUGUGACGGAGCAAUGCCGCGUGUGGGAUGAAGCGGCUACGCCGUGUAAACCACUGUCAGGGUCUAGGAAGAACUGACCAGACCCAGAGGAAGGGCCGGCUAAUCUCGUGCCAGCAGCCGCGGUAAUACGAGAGGCCCAAGCGUUAGACGGAAUCACUGGGCUUAAAGCGUGCGUAGGCGGAUGCGUAAGCGUGUUGUGAAAUCCCAUAGCUCAACUAUGGAACUGCGAUGCGAACUGUGUAUCUUGAGGAAGGUAGGGGUCAGUGGAACGUUCGGUGGAGCGGUGAAAUGCGUAGAUAUCGAACGGAACGCCAAUGGUGAAGACAACUGACUGGGCCUUUCCUGACGCUGAGGCACGAAAGCGUGGGGAGCAAACAGGAUUAGAUACCCUGGUAGUCCACGCCGUAAACGAUGUGCACUGGAUCGGUGCGGUUUUGACGCCGUGCUGGUCGUAGAGAAAUCAUUAAGUGCACCGCCUGGGGAGUACGGUCGCAAGGCUAAAACUCAAAGAAAUUGACGGGGGCUCACACAAGCGGUGGAGCAUGUUGCUUAAUUCGAAGCAACGCGAAGAACCUUACCUGGGCUUGACAUGCACGGAUUAGUUUUUGGAAACAGAAAUGACGCCUUCGGGUGGAACGUGCACAGGUGCUGCAUGGCUGUCGUCAGCUCGUGCUGUGAAGUGUCGGGUUAAGUCCCUUAACGAGCGCAACCCUUGUCGCUAGUUGCCAGCGCGUAAUGGCGGGGACUCUAGCGAGACUGCCGGUGUCAAACCGGAGGAAGGUGGGGAUGACGUCAAGUCCUCAUGGCCCUUACGCCCAGGGUGGCAAACGUGCUACAAUGGCAUGUACAAUGCGAUGCAAGACCGCGAGGUGGAGCAAAUCGCAAAAAGCAUGCCCCAGUUCGGAUUGUAGUCUGAAACUCGACUACAUGAAGCCGGAAUCGCUAGUAAUCGGAGAUCAGCCACGCUCCGGUGAAUACGUUCCUGAGCCUUGUACACACCGCCCGUCACGUCAUGGAAGCUGGGAGUGCCCGAAGUCGCCCUAUUUCAGGGGUGCCCACGGCAAGCUUGGUGACUGGGACGAAGUCGAACAGGGUA
rnacentral:rRNA from 1 species